rfam:Ictidomys tridecemlineatus contig079144, whole genome shotgun sequence.
GGGGAUGUGGCUCAGUAGUAGAGUACUUACCUGGCUUGCAUUAGGACCUGGGUUCAAUCCCUAGCACUGCCA